GAGAAGGCGAAAGGGUGAGUAACACGUGGGUGAUCUGCCCUGCACUCUGGGAUAAGCCUGGGAAACUGGGUCUAAUACCGGAUAUGAGCUCCUGUCGCAGGCGGGGGUUGGAAAGGUUUACUGGUGCAGGAGGGCCCGCGGCCUAUCAGCUUGUUGGUGGGGUAAUGGCCUACCAAGGCGACGACGGGUAGCCGGCCUGAGAGGGCGACCGGCCACACUGGGACUGAGACACGGCCCAGACUCCUACGGGAGGCAGCAGUGGGGAAUAUUGCACAAUGGGCGAAAGCCUGAUGCAGCGACGCCGCGUGAGGGAUGACGGCCUUCGGGUUGUAAACCUCUUUCAGCAGGGACGAAGCGAGAGUGACGGUACCUGCAGAAGAAGCACCGGCCAACUACGUGCCAGCAGCCGCGGUAAUACGUAGGGUGCGAGCGUUGUCCGGAAUUACUGGGCGUAAAGAGCUCGUAGGCGGUUUGUCGCGUCGUCCGUGAAAACUUGGGGCUCAACCCCAAGCUUGCGGGCGAUACGGGCAGACUUGAGUACUGCAGGGGAGACUGGAAUUCCUGGUGUAGCGGUGAAAUGCGCAGAUAUCAGGAGGAACACCGGUGGCGAAGGCGGGUCUCUGGGCAGUAACUGACGCUG
rnacentral:rRNA from 2 species